CUUGGCCUACGGGACGCAGCAGUGGGGAAUAUUGCACAAUGGGGGGGACCCCGAUGCAGCGACGCCGCGUGAAGGAAGAAGUAUUUCGGUAUGUAAACUUCUAUCAGCAGGGAAGAAAAUGACGGUACCUGACUAAGAAGCCCCGGCUAACUACGUGCCAGCAGCCGCGGUAAUACGUAGGGGGCAAGCGUUAUCCGGAUUUACUGGUUGUAAAGGGAGCGUAGGCGGUUUAGCAAGUCAGAAGUGAAAGCCCGGGGCUCAACUCCGGGACUGCUUUUGAAACUGUUGAACUAGAUUGCAGGAGG
rnacentral:rRNA from 1 species